GCUCGUCUAGUUCAAUCGGUAGGGCAUAAGACUUUUAAUCUCAACGUCAUGGGUUCGAGCCCCACGUUGGGUG